UACGUAGGGGGCAAGCGUUGUCCGGAAUUAUUGGGCGUAAAGAGCGCGUAGGCGGUCCGGUAAGUCGGUUGUGAAAGUCGGGGGCUCAACCCUCGGAUGCCGAUCGAUACUGUCGGGCUAGAGUCCGGAAGAGGCGAGUGGAAUUCCUGGUGUAGCGGUGAAAUGCGCAGAUAUCGGGAAGAACACCCGUGGCGAAGGCGGCUCUCUGGGACGGUACUGACGCUGAGACGCGAAAGCGUGGGGAGCGAACAGG
rnacentral:rRNA from 1 species